GACUAACGCUGGCGGCGUGCCUAACACAUGCAAGUCGAACGCACCGCAAGGUGAGUGGCAGACGGGUGAGUAACGCGUAGGUAAUGUGCCUUCUUGCUGGGGAUACCGUUCCGAAAGGGGCGUUAAUACCGAAUGUGUCGGUUUCGGGGCAUCCCGAGAUCGAUAAACUGCUAGGGCGAGAAGAGCAGCCUGCGUUCUAUCAGCUUGUUGGUGGGGUAACGGCCUACCAAGGCUACGACGGAUAGCCGGUCUGAGAGGAUGAUCGGCCACACUGGGACUGAGACACGGCCCAGACUCCUACGGGAGGCAGCAGUGAGGAAUAUUGCGCAAUGGGCGAAAGCCUGACGCAGCGACGCCGCGUGAGGGAUGAAGGCCUUCGGGUUGUAAACCUCUGUCAGUGGGGAAGAGAACGGACGGUACCCGACUGAGGAAGCUUCGGCUAACUACGUGCCAGCAGCCGCGGUAAU
rnacentral:rRNA from 1 species